AGAGUGAACGCUGGCGGCAGGCCUAAUACAUGCAAGUCGAGCGGCAGCACGGCAGAGCUUGCUCUGUGGGUGGCGAGUGGCGGACGGGUGAGGAAUACAUGGGAAUCUGCCCAGUCGUGGGGGAUAACGUAUGGAAACGUACGCUAAUACCGCAUGCGCCCUUCGGGGGAAAGCCGGGGACCUUCGGGCCUGGCGCGAUUGGAUGAGCCCAUGUCGGAUUAGCUAGUUGGCGGGUAACGCCCACCAAGGCGACGAUCCGUAGCUGGUCUGAGAGGAUGAUCAGCCACACUGGAACUGAGACACGGUCCAGACUCCUAGGGAGCAGCAGUAGGGAAUAUUGGACAAUGGGCGCAAGCCUGAUCCAGCCAUGCCGCGUGUGUAGAAGAAGGCCUUCGGUUAGUAAAGACUACUUUGUACCGGAAAGAAAAGACGACGUCGGUUAACACCCGUGGUGUCCGUCGUAACGGUACCGGAAAGUAA
rnacentral:rRNA from 1 species